rnacentral:rRNA from 1 species
CCUACGGGGUGCAGCAGUGAGGAAUAUUGGUCAAUGGACGAGAGUCUGAACCAGCCAAGUAGCGUGAAGGAUGACUGCCCUAUGGGUUGUAAACUUCUUUUAUAUGGGAAUAAAAUGUUCCACGUGUGGGAUUUUGUAUGUACCAUAUGAAUAAGGAUCGGCUAACUCCGUGCCAGCAGCCGCGGUAAUACGGAGGAUCCGAGCGUUAUCCGGAUUUAUUGGGUUUAAAGGGAGCGUAGGUGGAUUGUUAAGUAAGUUGUGAAAGUUUGCGGCUCAACCGUAAAAUUGCAGUUGAAACUGGCAGUCUUGAGUACAGUAGAGGUGGGCGGAAUUCGUGGUGUAGCGGUGAAAUGCUUAGAUAUCACGAAGAACUCCGAUUGCGAAGGCAGUUCACUGGACUGCAACUGACACUGAGGCUCGAAAGUGUGGGUAUCAAACAGGAUUAGAUACCCGAGUAGUC